rnacentral:rRNA from 1 species
UGAGGAACAUGACCUUCGGCGGGGGAUAGCCGGCCCAGCGGCCGGGUAAUACCGCGUACGACCACAUGGGGACAUCCCUGAGUGGUGAAAGCAGCAAUGCGCCGAUGGAGUGCCUCGCGGCCUAUCAGCUAGUUGGUGAGGUAACGGCUCACCAAGGCGACGACGGGUAGCUGGU